UGAGGAAUAUUGGCCAAUGGGCGCAAGCCUGAACCAGCCAUCCCGCGUGCAGGAAGACGGCCCUAUGGGUUGUGAACUGCUUUUCCAGGGGGAGAAUUUUUCUGUCGUGACAGGAAUUGACGGUACCCUGGGAAUAAGCAUCGGCUAACUCCGUGCCAGCAGCCGCGGUAAUACGGAGGAUGCGAGCGUUAUCCGGAUUUAUUGGGUUUAAAGGGUGCGUAGGCGGAUUGAUAAGUCAGUGGUGAAAACCUGCAGCUUAACUGUAGACUUGCCGUUGAUACUGUCAGUCUUGAGUGUGGUCAAGGUAGGCGGAAUGUGUAAUGUAGCGGUGAAAUGCUUAGAUAUUACACAGAACACCGAUUGCGAAGGCAGCUUACUGGGCCAUUACUGACGCUGAUGCACGAAAGUGUGGGGAUCGAACAG
rnacentral:rRNA from 1 species